AUUGAACGCUGGCGGCAGGCCUAACACAUGCAAGUCGAACGAGUGGCGGACGGGUGAGUAAUGUCUGGGAAACUGCCUUAUGGAGGGGGAUAACUACUGGAAACGGUAGCUAAUACCGCAUAGCAUCCGCUGUGCCCAGAUGGGAUUAGCUAGUAGGUGGGGUAAAGGCUCACCUAGGCCACGAUCCUGAGUUGGUCCGAGAGGAUGACCAGCCACACUGGAACGGAGACACGGUCCAGACUCCUACGGGAGGCAGCAGUGGGGAAUAUUGCGCAAUGGGCGCAAGCCUGAUGCAGCCAUGCCGCGUGUAUGAAGAAGGCCUUCGGGUUGUAAAGUACUUUCAGCGGGGAGGCGUUACCCGCAGAAGAAGCACCGGCUAACUCCGUGCCAGCAGCCGCGGUAAUAC
rnacentral:rRNA from 1 species